rfam:Apaloderma vittatum contig12597, whole genome shotgun sequence.
GGCUGGCUAGCUCAGUCGGUUAGAGCAUGGUGCUUCUAACACCAAGGUCGUGGGUUCGAUUCCCGUUCGGUCC